UGGGGAAUAUUGCACAAUGGGCGCAAGCCUGAUGCAGCCAUGCCGCGUGUGUGAAGAAGGCCUUCGGGUUGUAAAGCACUUUUGUCCGGAAAGAAAUCCUUGGCUCUAAUACAGUCGGGGGAUGACGGUACCGGAAGAAUAAGCACCGGCUAACUACGUGCCAGCAGCCGCGGUAAUACGUAGGGUGCAAGCGUUAAUCGGAAUUACUGGGCGUAAAGCGUGCGCAGGCGGUUUGCUAAGACCGAUGUGAAAUCCCCGGGCUCAACCUGGGAACUGCAUUGGUGACUGGCAGGCUAGAGUAUGGCAGAGGGGGGUAGAAUUCCACGUGUAGCAGUGAAAUGCGUAGAGAUGUGGAGGAAUACCGAUGGCGAAGGCAGCCCCCUGGGCCAAUACUGACGCUCAUGCACGAAAAGCGUGGGGAGCAAAACAGGAUUAGAUACCCCUGGUAGU
rnacentral:rRNA from 1 species